rnacentral:sRNA from 1 species
AAAAUAAAGAAUUGGUGCAGACUGAAAUCCAAGAAAGACAUUCCUUCACAAAAGAGAUAAUUGCUUUGAAGAAUUUCUUUCAGCAGACCACAACUUCAUUCCAAAAUAUGGCAUUCCAGGAUCACCCAGAAAAGUCAGAACAAUUUGAGGAGCUUCAAAGCAUCCUUAAGAAAGGGAAACUAACUUUUGAGAAUAUUAUGGAAAAACUGCGAAUCAAGUAUUCCGAAAUGUACACCAUAGUCCCUGCAGAGAUUGAAUCCCAGGUGGAAGAAUGCAGAAAAGCUUUAGAAGACAUAGAUGAGAAGAUUAGCAAUGAAGUCUUAAAAAGCUCACCAUCAUAUGCAAUGAGGAGAAAAAUAGAAGAAAUUAACAAUGGGCUUCAUAAUGUUGAAAAGAUGUUGCAGCAGAAAAGCAAAAAUAUUGAGAAAGCUCAAGAAAUUCAAAAGAAAAUGUGGGACGAGUUAGAUCUAUGGCAUUCCAAACUAAAUGAGCUGGAUUCUGAAGUUCAGGACAUUGUUGAACAGGACCCAGGACAGGCUCAAGAAUGGAUGGAUAACUUGAUGAUUCCUUUCCAGCAGUAUCAGCAAGUAUCACAGAGAGCAGAGUGUAGAACCUCACAGUUGAAUAAGGCCACAGUUAAGAUGGAGGAAUACAGUGACCUUCUGAAGAGCACUGAGGCUUGGAUAGAAAAUACCAGUCAUUUGCUGGCCAAUCCUGCUGACUAUGACUCUUUGAGGACACUGAGUCACCAUGCUAGCGCUCUGCAGAUGGCUUUGGAAGAUUCAGAACAGAAGCACAAUCUUUUACAUUCAAUCUUUAUGGAUCUAGAAGACCUGUCAAUAAUUUUUGAAACAGAUGAAUUAACACAAUCCAUACAAGAGUUAAGUAAUCAAGUAACAGCUUUACAGCAAAAAAUAAUGGAAAGCCUUCCACAGAUUCAGCGAAUGGCUGAUGAUAUGGUUGCUAUUGAAUCUGAAGUAAAAUCAAUGGAAAAAAGAGUUUCAAAAAUCAAAACUAUCCUAUUAUCAAAAGAAAUAUUUGAUUUUUCACCUGAAGAACAUCUCAAACAUGGGGAGGUCAUACUUGAAAAUAUACGUCCCAUGAAGAAAACCAUUGCUGAGAUAGUGUCUUACCAAGUGGAACUGAGGUUGCCCCAAACAGGAAUGAAACCUCUGCCUGUGUUUCAGCGGACAAAUCAGCUUUUACAAGAUAUAAAACUAUUGGAAAAUAUGACUCAAGAACAAAAUGAGUUAUUAAAGGUAGUCAUAAAACAGACCAAUGAAUGUGAUGAAGAAAUAGAAAAUUUGAAACAGAUCUUAAAUAAUUAUUCAGCUCAGUUCUCCCUUGAACAUAUGUCACCAGACCAAGCUGACAAGCUGCCACAACUACAGGGAGAAAUCGAACGUAUGGAGAAACAGAUUCUGAGUUUGAACCAGAGAAAAGAAGACCUGUUGGUGGACUUGAAGGCCACCGUACUAAACCUUCACCAGCAUUUGAAGCAAGAACAAGAAGGAGUAGAAAGAGAUAGGCUGCCAGCUGUAACAUCAGAGGAAGGUGGAGUGGCAGAGAGGGAUGCUUCUGAGCGGAAGUUGAACAGAAGAGGCUCCAUGUCUUACCUGGCAGCAGUCGAGGAAGAGGUGGAAGAAAGUUCCGUGAAGAGCGAAGUAAGGGAAAUGAUUUUCUUGUUAAAGUUUGUUAGAACCAGACCUCUAAAAGAAGUCAAUGAAAAGAUCUUAAAGUGAAUGGAAACCUAAGAAUUUUUAAAAUUAAUGUUGAUAUUUUAAAAGUAUGAUUGAAGUAGUUCUCUUAUGUUAUUAAUGUUUAAGUGUAUGGAAACCUACUUCACUGUGUAAGAGUGAGAUGAAUGUAAUUCAGACACUCUUGUUGGCAUACGGGAGAAGGUGAAGAAGUUCUCUGUAGUAUCCUGAUUUCUGAGGACUUUCUCUGAAGUUUUGAGAGCAUGCUGUUUGGCACUCCUGGUCUCAUUUUUAGAACUGUAUUUUUCCGCAUUUCAAUUACUCUUUUGCUCUAAAACAGUAUUUCCAAUGACAUGAAGAGUUGUGUUAGCAAGUAAUACUAAGAAUUUGUACUACUUGAUUAUAACUGGUUGAAUGAGACAUUUUCAGUUGUCUUUUCUGACAUCAGUUUCCAUUUCAUACUUGAAAAAAUAAGUUGCAAUGGGUCUUAAGACAAAAGGAAGAAAAUUGAAGCAACUUACAGUUUUUGUGACUUACAUGUAACCACCAGACACUUUUUAGGCUCAUUUUAUAGAUGGUUAAAUAGCUCCACUCUCACACAGAGCAGACCUCUUGUCCUAGAGUUGUCGCUGGGACAUGGUGGAACUGUGACAAGGAAGAGUACAACUUUACUGUGUGCUCUGUGACCAUCAAACAACUUUGCAAUCUGAUUAUACCCCUUCAUGGCAGAGAGAACUACGAGAAUAAUGGAGAGACUAGGGGCCAAAAAGAGUGACUUCAGUACAAUGUUAAUUUGAGACAUGUAUUUGCUUCUGAGCUGAUGUUUAUAGUGUUGUUUGUCUUUGACAGCAACAAAAAAGUACAUGUUCAUCAAGCUGUGAUUUUUUUUUCUUUUUUUUAUUAUUAUUAUACUUUAAGUUUUAGGGUACAUGUGCACAAUGUGCAGGUUAGUUACAUAUGUAUACAUGUGCCAUGCUGGUGCGCUGUACCCACUAACCCGUCAUCUAGCAUUAGGUAUAUCUCCCAAUGCUAUCCCUCCCCGCUCCCCCCAACCCACAACAGUCCCCAGAGUGUGAUGAUCUAGAACUAGAAAUACCAUUUGACCCAGCCAUCCCAUUACUGGGUAUAUACCCAAAGGACUAUAAAUCAUGCUGCUAUAAAGACACAUGCACACGUAUGUUUAUUGCGGCAUUAUUCACAAUAGCAAAGACUUGGAACCAACCCAAAUGUCCAACAAUGAUAGACUGGAUUAAGAAAAUGUGGCACAUAUACACCAUGGAAUACUAUGCAGCCAUAAAAAAUGAUGAGUUCAUGUCCUUUGUAGGGACAUGGAUGAAAUUGGAAAUCAUCAUUCUCAGUAAACUAUCGCAAGAACAAAAAACCAAACACCGCAUAUUCUCACUCAUAGGUGGGAAUUGAACAAUGAGAACACAUGGACACAUGAAGGGGAACAUCAAGCUGUGAUUUUUUUAAAAAAAUUGACAAGUAAAAAUUGUAUGCAUUC